ensembl:lncRNA
GUUGAAGAUUCAGCCCCUGAUCCCGGAAGAUCUUGUAAGAAACAAGAAUUACCAGCAGGAAUGUGAAUGGAGAGUAACAUUCUGAGAAGAACAUUCUGGGUAGAGGAAUUGAAGUCCCACACAACUUAAUGGGGACACUGGCUGCCUUGGCUCUACCAGAUCUCCUGGAAGAGGUGACUUGUUCUAUCUGUUCACACAAUUUGAAGAAACCACUUGCCGUUGAAUGUGGACACAAGUCUUGCUGUGAUUGCCUCUUAUGAAAUUGGAAAGGAAUCUGAUUACAGCACCUGCUUUAAGUAUAAAGAAAUUUGCAAGGGAAGGGACUUCCCUGGAGGUCCAGUGGUUAAGACUCUGCCCUUCCAUUGUAGAGACACGGAUUUGAUCCCUGGUCAGGGAACUAAGAUCCUGCACACUGCAUGGCAU